rnacentral:rRNA from 1 species
CCUACGGGUGGCAGCAGUGAGGAAUAUUGGUCAAUGGCCGUAAGCCUGAACCAGCCAAGUCGCGUGAGGGAUGAAGGUUCUAUGGGUCGUAAACCUCUUUUGUCGGGGAGUAAAGUGCGGGACGUGUCACGCUUUGUAUGUACCUUAUGAAUAAGGAUCGGCUAACUCCGUGCCAGCAGCCGCGGUAAUACGGAGGAUCCGAGCGUUAUCCGGAUUUAUUGGGUUUAAAGGGUGCGGAGGGGGAAGGUUAAGUCAGUCGUGAAAGUUUGCGGCUCAACCGUCGAAUUGCAGUUGAAACUGGAAGGCUUGAGUGCAGGAGAGGUGGGCGGAAUGCGUGGUGUAGCGGUGAAAUGCUUAGAUAUCACGAAGAACUCCGAUUGCGAAGGCAGUUCACUGGACUGCAACUGACACUGAGGCUCGAAAGUGUGGGUAUCAAACAGGAUUAGAUACCCUGGUAGUC